rnacentral:rRNA from 1 species
CCUACGGGAGGCAGCAGUGAGGAAUAUUGGACAAUGGGCGCAAGCCUGAUCCAGCCAUGCCGCGUGCAGGAAGACGCAUCUAUGGUGUGUAAACUGCUUUUGUACGGGAAGAAACACUCCCUCGUGAGGGAGCUUGACGGUACCGUAAGAAUAAGGAUCGGCUAACUCCGUGCCAGCAGCCGCGGUAAUACGGAGGAUCCAAGCGUUAUCCGGAAUCAUUGGGUUUAAAGGGUCCGUAGGCGGUUUAAUAAGUCAGUGGUGAAAGCCCAUCGCUCAACGAUGGAACGGCCAUUGAUACUGUUAGACUUGAAUUACUAGGAAGUAACUAGAAUAUGUAGUGUAGCGGUGAAAUGCUUAGAUAUUACAUGGAAUACCAAUUGCGAAGGCAGGUUACUACUAGUGGAUUGACGCUGAUGGACGAAAGCGUGGGGAGCGAACAGGAUUAGAUACCCUGGUAGUCCACGCCGUAAACGAUGGAUACUAGCUGUUGGGCGACAAGUUCAGUGGCUAAGCGAAAGUGAUAAGUAUCCCACCUGGGGAGUACGUUCGCAAGAAUGAAACUCAAAGGAAUUGACGG